rnacentral:rRNA from 1 species
AAACCAACCGGGAUUGCCUUAGUAACGGCGAGUGAAGCGGCAAAAGCUCAAAUUUGAAAUCUGGUACCUUCGGUGCCCGAGUUGUAAUUUGGAGAGGGCAACUUUGGGGUCGUUCCUUGUCUAUGUUCCUUGGAACAGGACGUCAUAGAGGGUGAGAAUCCCGUGUGGCGAGGAGUGCGGUUCUUUGUAAAGUGCCUUCGAAGAGUCGAGUUGUUUGGGAAUGCAGCUCUAAGUGGGUGGUAAAUUCCAUCUAAAGCUAAAUAUUGGCGAGAGACCGAUAGCGAACAAGUACAGUGAUGGAAAGAUGAAAAGAACUUUGAAAAGAGAGUGAAAAAGUACGUGAAAUUGUUGAAAGGGAAGGGCUUGAGAUCAGACUUUGUAUUUCUAUGGCGCUCUUUCGGGGGUGUCCUCUGGGUUUACAGGGCCAGCAUGGGUUCUGCGGGCGAGAUAAGGUCUUAGGAAUGUGGCUCCGCUUCGGUGGAGUGUUAUAGCCUAGGGUACUAGUCGCCACGCGGGACCGAGGACUGCGAUUCUA